AUGAUGGCAGAGAGGUCACACCCGUUCCCAUACCGAACACGGAAGUUAAGCUCUCUAGCGCCGAUGGUAGUUGGGACUUUGUCCCUGUGAGAGUAGGACGUUGCCAGGC
rnacentral:rRNA from 1 species